AUUGAACGCUGGCGGCAGGCCUAACACAUGCAAGUCGAGCGGGGUUUUCGGACCUAGCGGCGGACGGGUGAGUAAUGCGUAGGAAGCUGCCCGAUAGAGGGGGAUACCAGUUGGAAACGACUGUUAAUACCGCAUAAUGUCUACGGACCAAAGUGUGGGACCUUCGGGCCACAUGCUAUCGGAUGCGCCUACGUGGGAUUAGCUAGUUGGUGAGGUAAUGGCUCACCAAGGCGACGAUCUGUAGCUGGUUUGAGAGGAUGAUCAGCCACACUGGAACUGAGACACGGUCCAGACUCCUACGGGAGGCAGCAGUGGGGAAUAUUGGACAAUGGGCGAGAGCCCGAUCCAGCCAUGCCGCGUGUGUGAAGAAGGUCUUCGGAUUGUAAAGCACUUUAAGUUGGGAGGAAGGGUUGUAAGCUAAUAGCUUGCAGCUUUGACGUUACCAACAGAAUAAGCACCGGCUAACUCUGUGCCAGCCGCCGCGGUAAAAC
rnacentral:rRNA from 1 species